rnacentral:rRNA from 1 species
GAUGGACGCUGGCGGCGUGCCUAAUACAUGCAAGUCGAGCGAACGGACGAGAAGCUUGCUUCUCUGAUGUUAGCGGCGGACGGGUGAGUAACACUUGGAUAACCUACCUAUAAGACUGGGAUAACUUCGGGAAACCGGAUCUAAUACCGGAUAAUAUUUUGAACCGCAUGGUUCAAAAGUGAAAGACGGUCUUGCUGUCACUUAUAGAUGGAUCCGCGCUGCAUUAGCUAGUUGGUAAGGUAACGGCUUACCAAGGCAACGAUGCAUAGCCGACCUGAGAGGGUGAUCGGCCACACUGGAACUGAGACACGGUCCAGACUCCUACGGGAGGCAGCAGUAGGGAAUCUUCCGCAAUGGGCGAAAGCCUGACGGAGCAACGCCGCGUGAGUGAUGAAGGUCUUCGGAUCGUAAAACUCUGUUAUUAGGGAAGAACAUAUGUGUAAGUAACUGUGCACAUCUUGACGGUACCUAAUCAGAAAGCCACGGCUAACUACGUG